rnacentral:rRNA from 1 species
GAAUUUUGGACAAAGGGCGACAGCCUGAUCCAGCAAUGCCGCGUGCAGGACGAAGGCCUUCGGGUUGUAAACUGCUUUUCUACGGAACGAAAAGCUUUGGGUUGAUACCCUGGAGUCAUGACGGUACCGUAAGCAUCAGCACCGGCCACAUCCGCGCCAGCAGCCGAGGGAAUCCGUAGGUUGCAAGGGUUAAUCGGACGUACUGGGGGUAAAGGGUGCGCAGGCGGUUUUAUAAGACAGAGGUGACAUCCCCGGGCUCAACCUGGAAACUGCCUUUGUGACUGCAAGGCUAGAAUACGGCAGAGGGGGGUGGAAUUCCGCGUGUAGCAGUGAAAUGCGUAGAUAUGCGGAGGAACACCGAUGGCGAAGGCAACCCCCUGGGCCUGUACUGACGCUCAUACACGAAAGCGUGGGGAGCAAACA